GCGCCGCAUACCCCGCCGGCGGGUACCCGUAUCCUGCCUGCGGGGGCGGGGCGUACCCGUACCCGCCUUGCGGGGGCGGCGGGUAGCCGUAUCCCGCCGGCGCUGGCCCUGGAUAACCCUGGGGCGGGUACGGGUUCGCAUAGGGCGCCGCCUGCGGCGGCGCAUACCCCGUGCUGGGCCCGGCAGGGUAAGCAGUAACUGG
rnacentral:misc_RNA from 1 species